rnacentral:rRNA from 1 species
CAGCCGCCACGGUAACACGGAGGGUGCAAGCGUUAAUCGGAAUUACUGGGCGUAAAGCGUGCGUAGGCGGUUCGUUAAGUCUGUUGUGAAAGCCCCGGGCUCAACCUGGGAAUGGCAAUGGAUACUGGCGAGCUAGAGUGUGUCAGAGGAUGGUGGAAUUCCCGGUGUAGCGGUGAAAUGCGUAGAGAUCGGGAGGAACAUCAGUGGCGAAGGCGGCCAUCUGGGACAACACUGACGCUGAGGCACGAAAGCGUGGGGAGCAAACAGGAUUAGAUACCCCCGUAGUCCCUGUCUCUUAUAC